UGCAUACUCCCUCCGUCCGGAAAUACUNNNNNUAGAGAUGAAUGUAUCUAGACUUAUUUUAAUUAUAGAUACAUUCAUUAUAUCCAUUUUUAGGACAAUUAUUUCCGGACGGAGGGAGUAUUUG
rnacentral:pre_miRNA from 1 species